GUAUUAGGUUGGUGCAAAAGUAAUUGCAAUUUUUGCCAUUACUUUCAAUGGCAAGUACCAUGAUUACUUUUGCACCAACCUAAUAUU
ensembl:miRNA